CGCACGGGUGAGUAACACGUAUGCAACCUGCCUGCCACAGCCGGAUAAUCGGGAGAAAUUCCGUCUAAUACGGCAUAAUGCAUCGACGGGACAUCCUGUUGGUGCCAAAGGUUAAUUCCGGUGGCGGAUGGGCAUGCGUCGCAUUAGUUAGUUGGCGGUGUAACGGACCACCAAGACGACGAUGCGUAGGGGUUCUGAGAGGAAGGUCCCCCACAUUGGGACUGAGACACGGCCCAAACUCCUACGGAAGGCAGCAG
rnacentral:rRNA from 1 species